rnacentral:rRNA from 1 species
UGGGGAAUAUUGGACAAUGGGCGAAAGCCUGAUCCAGCCAUGCCGCGUGUGUGAAGAAGGUCUUCGGAUUGUAAAGCACUUUAAGUUGGGAGGAAGGGCAUUAACCUAAUACGUUAGUGUUUAGACGUUACCGACAGAAUAAGCACCGGCUAACUCUGUGCCAGCAGCCGCGGUAAUACAGAGGGUGCAAGCGUUAAUCGGAAUUACUGGGCGUAAAGCGCGCGUAGGUGGUUUGUUAAGUUGGAUGUGAAAUCCCCGGGCUCAACCUGGGAACUGCAUUCAAAACUGACUGACUAGAGUAUGGUAGAGGGUGGUGGAAUUUCCUGUGUAGCGGUGAAAUGCGUAGAUAUAGGAAGGAACACCAGUGGCGAAGGCGACCACCUGGACUAAUACUGACACUGAGGUGCGAAAGCGUGGGGAGCAAACA